UCAGUCGGCUCAGGACGAACGCUGGCGGCGUGCGUUAACACAUGCAAGUCGAACGGUGAACCAGAGCUUGCUCUGGGGAUCAGUGGCGAACGGGUGAGUAACACGUGGGCAACCUGCCCCAGACUCUGGGAUAACCUCGGGAAACCGAUGCUAAUACCGGAUACGACCACUUCGGACAUCCGACGGUGGUGGAAAGUUUUUCGGUCUGGGAUGGGCCCGCGGCCUAUCAGCUAGUUGGUGGGGUAAUGGCCUACCAAGGCGACGACGGGUAGUCGGCCUGAGAGGGCGACCGGCCACACUGGAACUGAGACACGGUCCAGACUCCUACGGGAGGCAGCAGUGGGGAAUAUUGCACAAUGGGCGAAAGCCUGAUGCAGCGACGCCGCGUGAGGGACGACGGCCUUCGGGUUGUAAACCUCUUUCAGCAGGGACGAAGCGAAAGUGACUGUACCUGCAGAAGAAGCACCGGCUAACUACGUG
rnacentral:rRNA from 1 species